GCGGCUUCGGCUGUCACUUAUGGAUGGACCCGCGUCGCAUUAGCUAGUUGGUGAGGUAACGGCUCACCAAGGCAACGAUGCGUAGCCGACCUGAGAGGGUGAUCGGCCACACUGGGACUGAGACACGGCCCAGACUCCUACGGGAGGCAGCAGUAGGGAAUCUUCCGCAAUGGACGAAAGUCUGACGGAGCAACGCCGCGUGAGUGAUGAAGGCUUUCGGGUCGUAAAACUCUGUUGUUAGGGAAGAACAAGUGCUAGUUGAAUAAGCUGGCACCUUGACGGUACCUAACCAGAAAGCCACGGCUAACUACGUGCCAGCAGCCGCGGUAAUACGUAGGUGGCAAGCGUUAUCCG
rnacentral:rRNA from 1 species